AGAUGGAGCAAGAGAAAGAGACGGAGCAGCAGGGACAUACAGAAGAGCAGGAGAGAGAGAUGGAGCAAGAGAAAGAGACGGAGCAGCAGGGACAUACAGAAGAGCAGCAGAGAGAGAUGGAGCAAGAGAAAGAGACGGAGCAGCAGGGACAUACAGAAGAGCAGGAGAGAGAGAUGGAGCAAGAGAGAGAAAUAAAAGAGCAGGAGAGAGAGAGCCAGGGCAUCGAUUACUUUGCUCGCCCUGAACCUGCCAUAUUACAGGCCUUCUUAGAUUACCACCCACAGCAGAACAGUACAAGUGCAGUUGUGAUGAGGGUGUUCAGCUGUAAAGAUGGCACCAACAGGAAGUGGCUUACUUAUUGCAAAGAACGCCAUUUAUUGUUCUGCUUUGUGUGUCUGGCAUUUGCAAGGCGGACUGACACCAGCACAUUUAUAACAGGCAUGAGUGACUGGCGACAUAUACAUCUGCGCACAGAGGAGCAUGAAAAGAGCACUACACACCAGACCUGUGCUGAAGCUUUUUUCUUAAGGUGCUCAAAAGGCAACAUCAGGAGCUUGUUUGGUGGCAGUCAGUUGUCAGCUCACAGAGCACAAGUGAAAAAGAGACGGCAAGUUUUAGAGCGUAUAGUGGAUGUGAUCAAAGUACUUGGGAAGAGGGGACUCAGCUAUAGGCAUGUAGAGAAUGAGGCUGCAUACACUUUAGGUGAUAACACCAUCGAUCAUGGUAACUUUCUGGAACUGAUUGUGUUAUUAGGCAAGUAUGAUAUGUGCCUUGGAGAACAUUUGAAUGACUGCAUUGAAAAAAGCAAGAAGUUGCAUCAGACCAGUGGAUCAAGAGGUAGAGGAUCUCUCAUCACCCUACUCUCCAAAACAACUGUCAACUCAGUGAUUGAUGCACUUGGCCAUCUCCUUCAAGAGAGCAUUGCCAGUGAUGUCCAGAAAGCUGGGAUGUUUUCUGUUCAGCUAGACACAACCCAAGACAUCACAGGUUAUGAUCAGUGUUCAGUAAUCAUCAGGUAUGUUACUGAGGCUGUGCAGGAGAGGCUUGUCUCCAUAGUGAGGUGCGAAGCAUCCACGGGGCAGUACUUUGUAAACUUGCUUUCCGGAGUUUUAGAGCAUCUGAAUCUAGACAAGGCCAUGUGCAUUGGGAAUGCAACAGAUGGUGCUUCAAAUAUGCAGGGCCAGUACAAAGGCUUUUCAGCACUUAUGACUGCCCAGUCUCCAACUCAUGUGCAUGUGUGGUGCUAUGCACACAUACUUAAUCUUGUGAUUGCUGACACAACACAAAGUGUCAUUGAAAGUGGAUCACUCUUUAAUUUACUUAAUGACAUAGCUGUGUUCAUCAAGGAGUCCUAUCACAGGGUUAAUCUGUGGGAGAAACAAACCCAAGAGACAAGACACAGACGCCUCAGUCCAAUAGGUGAGACACGGUGGUGGGCCAAGCAUGAUGCCCUCCAAAAAAUCUUUGGACAUUUUGGAAAACCAGAUGAUGGCCUCUUCGUUGAUGUAGUGCUGACGCUGGAAGCCAUUGAAAAGAGGGAAAAAGAAAAGCCAGCUGUUCGUGCCAAAGCACGAGGCUUUAAAGAGUGUCUCUUGAAGCAUGAAACUGUGUUAACAGCACAGAUAUUUCUUAGAGUGUUUGAGCAAACAACUCCUCUGUCGAAGUACCUCCAGUCAAAGGGGAUGGACAUUCUCUCUGCACAUCAUAUGGUGACUGCCACACAAGAUGGCCUCAAAAGUAUCGCCAGGGACUUUCCAACUGUGAAGACAGCUGCAGACACAUUUGUGAAACAGACAAAUCAAAAACUAGAGGAGAGGGAGAACAACACAGACAUGGAAGUGGAAGCUGAACUACCUGAAAAGAGAGCCAAAAAGAGAAAAGGCAUGGCCGGAGAGAUACCUGAAGAUGAGUUGCAAGUCAAUGCUGAGAAAUCAUAUGAGGUGAAAGUGCACAAUGUCAUCCUGGACACAGUUAUUGAAGCAAUCCACAGACGAUUUGUCAUACAUGGCCCUCUUCUUGCCGAUUUGGCAUGGUUGGAUCCCAGGAGGUUUAGCCAGGUCAGAACAGUUUCUCUACCAAGUAAUGCAUUUCAAAACCUCAGCACCCGUCUACUUAAAUUUGACAGCAGGGCUACAGUUAAUAACCUUCAGUCAGAACUGAAACGUUUUGCUGAACAGUGGGAAAGGCUUAGGACCUCACAUGUAGAUGACUACAUGACCAGAACAGCAAAGGACAGAUCUGAAGAAUGGGACGAAGAAAGUGAAAUUGUGACCAAAAGCUGUGGUUCUUGCAAAAAUUGCCCACUGUGCUGCUAUCAAAUACUCAGGCGGUUCAACAUGCUGUCUGAUGCCUAUCGUCUCCUUGGGCUGGCAUACAAGUACCUGCUGACCCUCUCCCUCACUCAGGUUGCCUGUGAAAGAACAUUCUCUACACUCAAGUUCAUUAAAAGCAGACUCCGAAGCAGCCUGUCUGCAAACAAGCUGGAGAUGUUUAUGCUGAUGGCCACUGAAAAGGACAUUCUCAUGUCAUUGGACUCUGACAUGGUCAUUGACAGGGUAGCUGAGAAGAGUGACCUGCUGAGAAAGCUCCUUUUGUAACCUGGUGAGGUGAAAUAAAAAUGAGCAAAACAUUCCUAAUUAUGUAUUGUUAAUAUUAAAUUCAGCUUUAUUGUUAUUGCCCAAAUGAAUAUGUUUAGUAUCUACCUUCACUUCAAACAAGUCAAGUGCUUGGUAAAUGCUUAGAAUUUGUCCAUCUUAAUAGAUAGAAUAAAUAUGAGAUUGGAGUAUUAGGCAUUUAUAAACAUAUAUUCUUACAGUCUUAAUCUGUCAUUGUUUCAUUUCAGAUGCUGUCAGUCAUUUAAGGAGGACUGAAGUGUGUUCAUUUUAAGUUUCCAUGCCUUAAGAUAUGUUCAGUGUUGCUGCUGUGGAAGUGUUGUAGGUGACCUUUUAUUGAUGAGUGAAUAGUCUUUGGAGUUACAAUUCAAUCAUAAUCUGUCCUUUAUAGAUUUUAAUAUUCAUCUAAUCUUUAUUCCUUUCUGUCCUGUUUGUCAGGGUCUAAUCAUACAUUGUUUGUUUGUUUAAGAGGUUCUUGAGACCAUUCAACUUUUUAAGUUCAUCAACGUAAGUCCAUCAAUUGCCAUUCACUGUUCUUUGUCCUUUCAUUUGUGUCCUGUUUUUCAGGGUCCCAUAUAAUUUCUUCAGAAGUAAGUACUGUAUAUGAUGCCAGUAUUUUGCCAUAUGUUCUGUACUGUAUUAGUACUGUAUGUAAAAUGCCAUCAAAAACUCAAUUAAGUGUUAUUCUUAUUCUUCUUUCUCGCCUUUCUUUCUCCGUCUACUUUCAUAUUUAAAGGUUGCUGUGUUUAAAAAAUAUAUUGUGCUACCAUGCUGUUUUGUAUUGUUUUGGUAAAUAAAUAGUUUAUGAAAAUA